UGACCUACGGGUGGCUGCAGUGGGGAAUCUUGGACAAUGGGCGCAAGCCUGAUCCAGCCAUGCCGCGUGAGUGACGAAGGCCUUAGGGUUGUAAAGCUCUUUUGGCGGGGACGAUAAUGACGGUACCCGCAGAAUAAGCCCCGGCUAACUUCGUGCCAGCAGCCGCGGUAAUACGAAGGGGGCUAGCGUUGUUCGGAAUUACUGGGCGUAAAGCGCACGUAGGCGGAUUUGUAAGUCAGGGGUGAAAUCCCGGGGCUCAACCUCGGAACUGCCUUUGAUACUGCAAAUCUUGAGUCCGAUAGAGGUGAGUGGAAUUCCUAGUGUAGAGGUGAAAUUCGUAGAUAUUAGGAAGAACACCAGUGGCGAAGGCGGCUCACUGGAUCGGUACUGACGCUGAGGUGCGAAAGCGUGGGGAGCAAACAGGAUUAGAUACCCCAGUAGUC
rnacentral:rRNA from 1 species